UGGGGAAUAUUGGACAAUGGGCGAAAGCCUGAUCCAGCCAUGCCGCGUGUGUGAAGAAGGUCUUCGGAUUGUAAAGCACUUUAAGUUGGGAGGAAGGGCAGUAAGCGAAUACCUUGCUGUUUUGACGUUACCGACAGAAUAAGCACCGGCUAACUCUGUGCCAGCAGCCGCGGGAAUACAGAGGGUGCAAGCGUUAAUCGGAAUUACUGGGCGUAAUGCGCGCGUAGGUGGUUCGUUAAGUUGAAUGUGAAAGCCCCGGGCUCAACCUGGGAACUACAUCCAGAACUGGCGAGCUAGAGUAGGGCAGGGGGUGGUGGAAUUUCCUGUGUGGCGGUGAAAUGCGUAGAUAUAGGUAGGAACACCAGUGGCGAAGGCGACCACCUGGGCUCAUACUGACACUGAGGUGCGAAAGCGUGGGGAGCAAACAGG
rnacentral:rRNA from 1 species